AUGCUUUCUUUCUUUUUUUCCACAUCUCUUUUUACUGCGGCCCAUUGAGAAAAGCACGUAGAAUUUUCUGGUUGAUACCUUCGCUUACACGUUGUUUUUUCGGUUGAGGUACUUGUCCCUGUUUGGGUGGACGUGAAUUAGCGUAUGUCGGAUUCAAACGAGCUGGCGGUGCGAUCUUUUUCAACGCUAUCUCUUCCGUACUUUUUUUCGAACUAUCUAAUACGUUUA
rnacentral:lncRNA from 1 species